CAUGCCAUCCCAUCCCAUCCCAUCCCAUGCUGUGCCAUCCCGUGUCAUCCUGUGCCAUCUCAUCCCAUCCCAUCUCGUCCCGUGCUGUGCCAUGCCAUGCCGUGCCAUCCCAUUCCAUGCCGUGCCAUGCCAUGCCGUCCCAUUCCUUCCCAUCCCAUCCCAUGCUGUGCCGUGCCAUCCCUUCCCAUGCCAUGCUGCCUGGUGCCAUGCUGUCCAGUCCCGUGCAUGCCAUCCCUCCCCACCCCACCCCACCCCGUGCCACCCCGUGCUAUGCUACCCCAUGCAGUGCCACCCAUGCCACCCCACGCUGUCCCACCCCACCAUCCCCAAGGCCCAGGCGCUUGCCAGGGCUGAGCCCUUUCCCCCCACCUGCACCCCCAGAGCCCCCCCCAUGGCGUUUGCUCCCCCAUUAGGGACCAGCCACCCUGAGCCCCCACCCCUGCCUGGGCACGGUGCGGGGUGCCACCCCUCUGUCCCCCCCAGCCCCCAGGUCCUGGAGGACGACGAUUAUUUCCUGGAGACCGAGGCCAGCCCCAGGGACCAGCCCAUCUACGCCAACACGCAGAGCGCCAGCGAGGACAUCUACAUUGUCCCCGACAAGUGAGGGGCCGGGGGGCCGGGGGGGGUGAACCUCUGGCUCCCGCUGAUGCUUCUCCCCAGGACUUUCCCUGGUGCCCCGCAGCCCAGAGGGGACGGGGCUGGGUGCUCCCCAUGGACGUUGGCUCCAUGGAUGUCCCCAUGGUGGGGACAGGGACACAUGUGGUCCCCACACACACAUCCUGCUAAGGACGCCUUUUUCAGGGGUGGGUUGUUUGUGACACCACCCAGCCCCCUGCUUCUCCCCGGUUCCCACUGUAGGGUGAGGGCUGAGGGCCAGAGCUUCCUCCCCGGGGCCCGUGGCCUCUGACCGCAGGGACACCUCUGCGCAGCAUCCGCCACCAUCUGGCAUGUCCGGCCUGAGCGGGGCCCUGGGGUGACCAUGGCGUUUGGUUCCUCUUCCCCUUUCGGCUGCUGAUGGAGAGUGUCAGGGUGCACGUGCCCUUGGGGACAUGCCAGCAGUUGGGGACUUCUGGGUACUGGGACCACCCUCCGCGCUGUCACCUUCACCCCUCCUUUUUCCUGCUAAAUCUGCCCGUUUGGGGAACAAAAGUGAAAGUCCCUAAUUUGAAUGCUCUUGGCAAGAUCCCCGAGCCCCACGCUGCCAGGCUGUGCACCCCGAGGGGACCGGCAGCCUGGGGACAUGGGGACCCCACGGCUUGUCUGGGUCCCCUGAGCUCUGACCCUUGUGAUGCUCCACCAUGCCCCAUUAAAUGGUUUAAUUACCUUAAAUGACCCAUGUAGCUGGUGGUCUGCUGGGAGCCCUGGGCAGGACAUGGUGGAGGGGGGGAGGGGCUGCCCCCAAGGCUGGUGUCACCCCCGGGCUGGAUCGGUCCCUCUGCAGCAGUGGGGUGGCACCAGCGGAGCAGAGCCAGGGUUUCGUUAUCUCUUAAUGCACUGACAGCCCCAAUUAGGGGCGUCAGGAGCUCUGGGGUGUCUGUAAACAUUAACCUGAAAGAGCUGAGUGAGGUGGGGGGUCCCUGGGGAACCUGUCUGCAGCUUAAAAAGCCUGUGUCCCCAGAGCGGGGGUCCCAAGGGACCAGGACCAUCAAGGACAGGUCCCAAGGACCCUCGAGGAUAGGUCCCCAGAGCCCGUGUCCCCAGACUGGGGGUCCCAAGGGCCCUCAACGGCAGAUCCCCAGAGCCUGUGUUCCCAGAGUGGGGGUCCCAAGGAUCCAGGACCCUUGAGAACAGGUCUCCAGAGUGGGGGUCCCAAGGGCCCUCAAGGACAGGUCCCUAGAGCCUGUGUCCCCAGACUAGGGGUCCCAAGGGACCAGGACCAUCAAGGACAGGUCCCCAGAGCCUGUGUCCCCUGUGUCCCCAGACUGGGGGUCCCAAGGGACCAGGACCCUCGAGAACAGGUCCCCAGAGCAGGGGUCCCCAGAGUGGAGGUGGCUGAAGUCCAGCUCCCUCAAGUCUCUGUCCCCAAGAGUGGACAUCCCCAUAGCUUGUGUCCCUCAAACCCUGGUCUGCAAAGACCCUGUCCCCAGCAUCAAGGUCCCAUAUCCCACGUUCCUCAAGCCCAGGUCCUCAACAGGAGCUGCCAAGGGGCCGGGCAGCCAAGCACACCCCCAGUACAUGCUGGAAGAGGGGACAGGACAGAGAGGAGCUGUGGCCAGCAGAGCCACCCUAUCCAGCUGUGCUGAGUCCCUUGGGGACACGGUGUGGGCCACACACCUCUGCAGCGACAGAGCCCAGGGGGAGCUGGGGUUUCCCCCACCCCUUGGUGCCCGUAGGGUUCCAGAGCCGGAGGUACCUGGAAAUCGGGCAGCAGUAUUCCGGAUGGAUGUCCCGCCUGGCGGGGUCAAGGCUGUGCCCAGCACCCACCUCAAGGACACAAACAACUCAAAGGUCUCUGGGAGCAUCGCCCAGGCAUUACUCACCACCGGCAGCAGUGGCAGGGAGGGGAUGGGGCUGGCCCGGCCCCGGAAAACCAUAAGGAUUUACUGGCAAAUCCAUAUGGAGUCAGUUCCUGGCCACUUGCAGAGGGGGAACUGAGGAUCCGAGCUGUGGGACCCCGGCCAAAGGUGACCCGGAGACCCCCAGCUGGUUGUAUGGGAGGUGCAACCAGCAUCCCUGAUAGCAUCACCCUGUUCAUUACAUUAUUACUUUAUUUCUGUUUUAUAGAAAUAUACUAAAUACAAAUACACACACACACACACACAAAAUCUUUCCUGAAAAAGUAUUUUGUUAUAAAAGACAAUAAAUUAGCAAUAAAUAAGA